UCGAAAAGACCAACAACAUACUGAGGACAACCCUUGCCGGUUUUCUGUCCAAGCGUUAGAAUCUGUGCUUUCUAAAGCUGGGAAUGAGAGACUGGUGAGAGUGCUCAGGACGCAGAAAACAUGGAUUCUGCUUGAAAACCCCCAGACUCACCAUGAGGGAGUGUGUCUGCUGGUGAGUGGUCUGCUAAGAUUUGGACU